AGACUGUGAAUUUUCUUUCUUUGAUCCUAAUGAUGCAUCAUGCCAGGAAAUUCUUUUUGAUCCCAAAACUUCAGUUUCAGAAUUAUUUGCCAUUUUGAGACAGUGGGUUCCUCAGGUCCAGCAAAACAUUGACAUUAUUGGAAAUGAGGUAAGGAAUUCUUACAUUUUAAAUUUUGCAUUGUUAGGAUUGUUAAUGGUAUAGAUUUUUUCCCCAUCUGAAAGGAAGAUGGUAAUAAAGGAGAAACCCUUUAAAGGUUCUGAUAUUUAUUUGUAUUUUGAGGAUUUUCAUGGGGCAGUGAGUUAAUACUAUAUAUUCUUCUGAUUAUUUCUUCAUGCUCUGUACUUCUGACAUUUGUAGACUCCUGGUGGGUGCAGGGAGGGGCAUUUUUCAUAUUUCCUUCUUUGUAAAAAUUGAUUUUGCAAACUUUUAUGCAUUUUGUGAAGGGAUUUGAUUACCAUCAUGUUCUAUUUACACUUUUGGGUGGUUUGGUAAAGAUAUAGCCUGGAGUGUAGUCUUUAAGAAUAUUAGAUUUUUUGAGGGAGGGUUCCUUGACCAGUAUGUUGCUGUGUUGUAGGAAGAGAGUGCUUAUACUUUUUUCAAAUAUCAUUAUACCCAUAGAAAUAAAAUUUUGCUCAUUUUUGAGAGGAACAUAUUUGGAGUGCCAGAUUACCUUUGGAAUAAUCUUCAAGAAUUUCCUUCAGCCUGCUGACAAGUUCAGGUUUCAUUAUUGUUGUUGAGUGCAGAUUUAAAAUUUACCCUUAAGAUAUGCCCAUACUGUCUAUAUAUUUUACUGAGAAGUAAUUCAGAUACAAUAGACUAACUUGGUUCCUCAGCAUUGGUUUGAAAGCAAUAGGUACCUCAGUAGUUAGGUUGUAACCAUAUUUUCCUUGACUGCUUCAGAUUCUUAAGAGAGGUUGCAAUGUGAAUGAUAGAGAUGGAUUGACAGAUAUGACUCUUUUGCAUUAUACCUGCAAAUCUGGAGCUCAUGGUAUUGGUAAGUGUGUGGUAAAUCUAUCAGUUGUUUAUGUCAUCUGCACUUGUGCUUAGAUAAUCUAUAUUUAUGCCCAUAUAUUGUCCGGGGGAAGGCACCCAGCUGAUGAUAAUAAUAUUGCCUGAAGAGUUGAGGAUUCAGUUAGGUCCUUCCAAAAACCAUAUUCCCUUUUCUCAAGGAGGUCUUUAUACCCUCCUGAUACCUCUUAACUUUUCUGGAUCAGGCCUCAUGCCUGAUUGCAUAAUAGAUGAGAGUAACUACUAACACCCUAAAAUCCUUCUGAGGGUUUAUAACAAGGUUUGACGGUCCAAGGUCAGUCUUUGCAUACUGAUCCCUAAUCUUAAGACCCCAGUCUUGAGACCUAAGGUCUGUUCCUACAUAUGUAACAUAUGUGCAUAUUUUCCAAAA
rnacentral:sRNA from 1 species